rnacentral:rRNA from 1 species
GUCGAACGAACUCUGGUAUUGAUUGGUGCUUGCAUCAUGAUUUACAUUUGAGUGAGUGGCGAACUGGUGAGUAACACGUGGGAAACCUGCCCAGAAGCGGGGGAUAACACCUGGAAACAGAUGCUAAUACCGCAUAACAACUUGGACCGCAUGGUCCGAGCUUGAAAGAUGGCUUCGGCUAUCACUUUUGGAUGGUCCCGCGGCGUAUUAGCUAGAUGGUGGGGUAACGGCUCACCAUGGCAAUGAUACGUAGCCGACCUGAGAGGGUAAUCGGCCACAUUGGGACUGAGACACGGCCCAAACUCCUACGGGAGGCAGCAGUAGGGAAUCUUCCACAAUGGACGAAAGUCUGAUGGAGCAACGCCGCGUGAGUGAAGAAGGGUUUCGGCUCGUAAAACUCUGUUGUUAAAGAAGAACAUAUCUGAGAGUAACUGUUCAGGUAUUGACGGUAUUUAACCAGAAAGCCACGGCUAACUACGUGCCAGCAGCCGCGGUAAUACGUAGGUGGCAAGCGUUGUCCGGAUUUAUUGGGCGUAAAGCGAGCGCAGGCGGUUUUUUAAGUCUGAUGUGAAAGCCUUCGGCUCAACCGAAGAAGUGCAUCGGAAACUGGGAAACUUGAGUGCAGAAGAGGACAGUGGAACUCCAUGUGUAGCGGUGAAAUGCGUAGAUAUAUGGAAGAACACCAGUGGCGAAGGCGGCUGUCUGGUCUGUAACUGACGCUGAGGCUCGAAAGUAUGGGUAGCAAACAGGAUUAGAUACCCUGGUAGUCCAUACCGUAAACGAUGAAUGCUAAGUGUUGGAGGGUUUCCGCCCUUCAGUGCUGCAGCUAACGCAUUAAGCAUUCCGCCUGGGGAGUACGGCCGCAAGGCUGAAACUCAAAGGAAUUGACGGGGGCCCGCACAAGCGGUGGAGCAUGUGGUUUAAUUCGAAGCUACGCGAAGAACCUUACCAGGUCUUGACAUACUAUGCAAAUCUAAGAGAUUAGACGUUCCCUUCGGGGACAUGGAUACAGGUGGUGCAUGGUUGUCGUCAGCUCGUGUCGUGAGAUGUUGGGUUAAGUCCCGCAACGAGCGCAACCCUUAUUAUCAGUUGCCAGCAUUAAGUUGGGCACUCUGGUGAGACUGCCGGUGACAAACCGGAGGAAGGUGGGGAUGACGUCAAAUCAUCAUGCCCCUUAUGACCUGGGCUACACACGUGCUACAAUGGAUGGUACAACGAGUUGCGAACUCGCGAGAGUAAGCUAAUCUCUUAAAGCCAUUCUCAGUUCGGAUUGUAGGCUGCAACUCGCCUACAUGAAGUCGGAAUCGCUAGUAAUCGCGGAUCAGCAUGCCGCGGUGAAUACGUUCCCGGGCCUUGUACACACCGCCCGUCACACCAUGAGAGUUUGUAACACCCAAAGUCGGUGGGGUAACCU